CAGCCGUAAACUAUGCUCGCUAGGUGUCAGGCAUGGCGCGACCGUGUCUGGUGCCGCAGGGAAGCCGUGAAGCGAGCCACCUGGGAAGUACGGCCGCAAGGCUGAAACUUAAAGGAAUUGGCGGGGGGAGCACAACAACGGGUGGAGCCUGCGGUUUAAUUGGACUCAACGCCGGACAAACUCACCGGGGGACGACAGCAAUAUGUAGGCCAGGCUGAAGACCUUGCCUGAAUCGCUGAGACUACACGGGUAUCUAA
rnacentral:rRNA from 1 species